ACUUAAAACGAGUGGCGGACGGGUGAGUAACACGUGGGUAACCUGCCCUUAAGUGGGGGAUAACAUUUGGAAACAGAUGCUAAUACCGCAUAAAUCCAAGAACCGCAUGGUUCUUGGCUGAAAGAUGGCGCAAGCUAUCGCUUUUGGAUGGACCCGCGGCGUAUUAGCUAGUUGGUGAGGUAACGGCUCACCAAGGCGAUGAUACGUAGCCGAACUGAGAGGUUGAUCGGCCACAUUGGGACUGAGACACGGCCCAAACUCCUACGGGAGGCAGCAGUAGGGAAUCUUCCACAAUGGACGCAAGUCUGAUGGAGCAACGCCGCGUGAGUGAAGAAGGCUUUCGGGUCGUAAAACUCUGUUGUUGGAGAAGAAUGGUCGGCAGAGUAACUGUUGUCGGCGUGACGGUAUCCAACCAGAAAGCCACGGCUAACUACGUGCCAGCAGCCGCGGUAAUACGUAGGUGGCAAGCGUUAUCCGGAUUUAUUGGGCGUAAAGCGAGCGCAGGCGGUUUUUUAAGUCUGAUGUGAAAGCCCUCGGCUUAACCGAGGAAGCGCAUCGGAAACUGGGAAACUUGAGUGCAGAAGAGGACAGUGGAACUCCAUGUGUAGCGGUGAAAUGCGUAGAUAUAUGGAAGAACACCAGUGGCGAAGGCGGCUGUCUGGUCUGUAACUGACGCUGAGGCUCGAAAGCAUGGGUAGCGAACAGGAUUAGAUACCCUGGUAGUCCAUGCCGUAAACGAUGAAUGCUAGGUGUUGGAGGGUUUCCGCCCUUCAGUGCCGCAGCUAACGCAUUAAGCAUUCCGCCUGGGGAGUACGACCGCAAGGUUGAAACUCAAAGGAAUUGACGGGGGCCCGCACAAGCGGUGGAGCAUGUGGUUUAAUUCGAAGCAACGCGAAGAACCUUACCAGGUCUUGACAUCUUUUGAUCACCUGAGAGAUCAGGUUUCCCCUUCGGGGGCAAAAUGACAGGUGGUGCAUGGUUGUCGUCAGCUCGUGUCGUGAGAUGUUGGGUUAAGUCCCGCAACGAGCGCAACCCUUAUGACUAGUUGCCAGCAUUGAGUUGGGCACUCUAGUAAGACUGCCGGUGACAAACCGGAGGAAGGUGGGGAUGACGUCAAAUCAUCAUGCCCCUUAUGACCUGGGCUACACACGUGCUACAAUGGAUGGUACAACGAGUUGCGAGACCGCGAGGUCAAGCUAAUCUCUUAAAGCCAUUCUCAGUUCGGACUGUAGGCUGCAACUCGCCUACACGAAGUCGGAAUCGCUAGUAAUCGCGGAUCAGCACGCCGCGGUGAAUACGUUCCCGGGCCUUGUACACACCGCCCGUCACACCAUGAGAGUUUGUAACACCCGAAGCCGGUGGCGUAACCCUUUUAGGGAGCGAGCCGUCUAAGGUGGGACAAAUGAUUAGGGUGAAGUCGUAACAAGGUAGCCGUAGGAGAACCUGCGGCUGGAUCACCUCCUUUCUAAGGAA
rnacentral:rRNA from 2 species